UGGGUUAUGGGUAUUGAGGAGGACACCUUUUGGGAUGAGCACUGGGUAUUAUCUGUAGGGGAUGAAUCACUGGAAUCUACUCCUGAAAUCAUUAUUGCACUAUAUGCUAAUUAACUGGGAUGUAAAUUU